GCCCCGAGGAUGUCGACUUUGGAGGUUGUGCCCUUGAGGCGUGGCUUCCGGAGCUAACGCGUUAAGUCGACCGCCUGGGGAGUACGGCCGCAAGGUUAAAACUCAAAUGAAUUGACGGGGGCCCGCACAAGCGGUGGAGCAUGUGGUUUAAUUCGAUGCAACGCGAAGAACCUUACCUGGUCUUGACAUCCACAGAACUUUCCAGAGAUGGAUUGGUGCCUUCGGGAACUGUGAGACAGGUGCUGCAUGGCUGUCGUCAGCUCGUGUUGUGAAAUGUUGGGUUAAGUCCCGCAACGAGCGCAACCCUUAUCCUUUGUUGCCAGCGGUUAGGCCGGGAACUCAAAGGAGACUGCCAGUGAUAAACUGGAGGAAGGUGGGGAUGACGUCAAGUCAUCAUGGCCCUUACGACCAGGGCUACACACGUGCUACAAUGGCGCAUACAAAGAGAAGCAAUCUCGCGAGAGCUAGCGGACCUCAUAAAGUGCGUCGUAGUCCGGAUUGGAGUCUGCAACUCGACUCCAUGAAGUCGGAAUCGCUAGUAAUCGUGAAUCAGAAUGUCACGGUGAAUACGUUCCCGGGCCUUGUACACACCGCCCGUCACACCAUGGGAGUGGGUUGCAAAAGAAGUAGGUAGCUUAACCUUCGGGAGGGCGCUUACCACUUUGUGAUUCAUGACUGGGGUGAAGUCUAAGGGGGAACCCCCCAAAAAAAAAGCGGAC
rnacentral:rRNA from 1 species